CUGAAGUCUUAGCUACUGAGAGGUUCAUGUGUUCUCUCAAGAAGUCUCUGAAUUGGGGAUGAGUAUCUAGAAUAUAGAAAGAACUGAAAAAUCAAACAACCCAAUUAUUAAAUGGGAGUAUAAAUUCCUCAAAACAAGAAAUACAAAUGAGCAACAAAUAUAUGAAAAAGUGUUUACCAUAAUUAGCAAUUAGGGAAAAGCAAUUCAAAACCGUGCUGAGAUUUCAUCUCACACCAGUCAGAAUGGCAGUCAUUAAGAAAAGAAAAAUGCUGGAGAGGACGUGGAGACAAAGGAGCACUGUCACACUGCUGGUGGGACUGUCAAUCCAUACAGCCACCAUGGAAAUCCGCAUGGGGUUCCUCAGAAGUCUAGGCAUAGAACCACCAUGGACCCAGCUGUCCUGCUCCUCAGUAUUUAUCCUGAAGAGUCGAAGUCUCAGUGAUUCGUCACACCCCUGUUUACAGCAGCUCAAUGCACAAGGGCCCACCAUGGGGCCAGCCUAGGUGUCCACCAGUGGAUGAAUCCAUUAAGAAAGUGUGGCCUAUAUACACAGUGGAGUUUUACUCAGUUAAAAAGAAUUAAACAUCAUUUGCAUGGAAAAUGGAUGGAACUUGAGAACAUUAUGUUAAGCUAAAUAAAACCCAAAUUCAGAAGUUCUUUUUUUUUUUUUUGUACCAGGGAUUGAACCCAGGGGUGCUUAACCACUGAGCACAUCCCUAGCCCUUUUUAAUUUUGUAUUUUGACAGAGUCUCACCAAGUUGCUGAGACUGGCCUUGAACUUGAGAUCCUCCUGCCGUAGCUCCUGAGUUGCUGGGGUUCAGGUGUGUGUCACCGUGUCUAGCAGGUCAUAUGUUUUCCCUCCUGUGUGGACGCUAGAGAGGAAAAAGGAAAAGAAAGCUGGGGAUCUCAUGAAAAUGGAAGGGAGAUCUGAGAAGGAACCAGGGAGUGGGGGUGGGGGAAGUGAUGGGAAGGGAGGUUGGCCAGGUGAUGUUGUUCUAUUGUGUCAUACACACAUGUGUGACAACAAAUCUUACUAUAUGCACAACUAUAAUGCACCCAUAAAAAUGUUACCAAUCCCUGAAAACAACAAUGACAAAGAAGUCUCUGUAUUGGGCAGGAAAGUAGCUCCGUGGUCAUGGUGGAACUCCUGCCCAGCAGGCACAGGCUCUGAACUCAAUCCUUACUACUGGGGAAAAACAAAAACAGAGCUCUCUGCGGAACACAGCACUGUCUUUACAGUUUGGAGUGUUGGUGGGACCGGGUCAUGAUCAAUUAGGCCCUUGAACUGGAUGCUCUGAGGGGCUCCCUGUCCUUUAAAAUGCUCAGACUUGUUAUCUUCAAAAAGAAGCAGGAUCAGGAGGAAGCCAGGCCGCAAGUGCAGAGUAACAAUUCCACCUGGAAUCAAGCUCCGUGUGGCUGUAGGUGCACUUCAAGAGAGGGAUUGCCUUGAACAGACAGAGAAAACUCAUACUGCUCUCUUUAUCCCCUUAGUGCUCCCAAAGCCUUGUUGGACCGCUGAUUACAGAACAACUUGGCAUGCGUCAGUUGAGGUCCAUCAUCUCAAAUCGUGAAAACACUUAGACUCAGGAUCCAGAAUGAAACUGUCUGGCGGAGUGAGCGUCAGCACCUGACCCUCACCGUCAGCUCAAGGAUGUGGUCAGUGUGGAAUCCUGUGACCAUCGAUCUCCCUUCUGGCCAUCUGAGUAGUUUACCUAGUGAGGUUAAGAAAUGCACAAGGAUGUUUUUUGAUCAGACAGUCAGCAGCACCUACUGCAGGUUCAUUAGGGGACAUGUGUCCAACCUACCUCUGCCAUCUCCCUGGGCUGCUUAGGAGACAAGGAAGGAGGGGUAUCGCAUCCUUAGAACAUAGCUAAGCUUUCAGCUAGUUUCUGUGUACUGGAGUCCACGUAUACCUUUACUUAAAAAAACUGUGCUGCUGAAAUUAUUUAAAAAUUCACCAUGGUGAAUGAAAGUUUGAUACUAUGGCAAAUGUUCAUUCAUAUAAGCUGAGACAAGAAGACUAUAAAACCAGAAGAUAGAAUGAAACGAGUUCUGUAAACCCAUGACAAGAAAAGCAAACCAAGGCCAGAAUCCCUGGAAAGGCAAAAGAGCUAUCUGUGGUCUCUGUGUGUGCACGUGUGUGCCCUAACCCUACCUUCCCCAAAAAUCCAGCCCAAAUGUGAACUAUUUGCUCUGCUCUGUCUGGCUCAGUGCAUAAAGGCUACAGGAAGAGAGUGUACUUAUUGCUCAAGAUAAUGAUAAUUUAUAUUAAAAACUAAAUGCAGGCAUGUGAGCAGGAAGGGGAAAUUGCGUCAUUAAUUACCUGGUUAUCUUAUCGGGCUGGAGUUCUGGGUUUUCUGGAAUGCAGAGCGGCUGCAGGAGCCUUGCUGAGGGCUCAGGAGGCAGCCAGUGCAGUGGGGCUGCAGCCCCUUGGCUCUGCAUUCUGCCGGGAGCAGCCCCGCCCCAGGCCCUGCGCACACCCUCUGUCUAGAGCCUGGUUCCAAACUUCCUCAGGGAGGCCGACUCCUGAGAUCUGGAGGGGACCUAGGAAGAGGUGCUGCUGGUUGCAGUGGUUUCCCUCUGGGGAAGAAUGGACAGUUCCAGAGCCCUUCGUCCAGCCCACCAGGCUGCUCAGUGCCCCUUGCCGGCCAGACUCUCUUGUCUUGUCCUUUGCAGAAAUAAGCUAUAGAAGUAUGUAAUUCUGGUGAAAUAUGAAUUUAUGUUGGAAAAGGAAAGCAAAUAACAAGAACACAAAGUGCGGUGUGUGCAACCAUGUAUUCAAUAUUAAAAAUAUUUUUAUUCCUUUCAAC
rnacentral:lncRNA from 1 species